rnacentral:rRNA from 1 species
UACAACUCUGAUCGGUGGAUCACUCGGCUCGUG